rnacentral:rRNA from 1 species
AACGAACGCUGGCGGCGUGCUUAAGACAUGCAAGUCGUACGGAAAGGUCCUCUUCGGAGGACACUCGAGUGGCGCACGGGUGAGUAACGCGUGGGUAAUCUGCCUUUGGGUCUGGGACAACCCCGGGAAACUGGGGCUAAUACCGGAUAAGACCACGACGUCCUCGGACGCUGUGGAAAAAGAUGGCCUCUCGUAGAAGCUAUCGCCCGCUGAUGAGCCCGCGUCCCAUUAGCUUGUUGGUGAGGUAACGGCUUACCAAGGCUAUGACGGGUAGCUGGUCUGAGAGGAUGAUCAGCCACAAUGGGACUGAGACACGGCCCAUACUCCUACGGGAGGCAGCAGUAAGGAAUCUUCCACAAUGGGCGAAAGCCUGAUGGAGCAAUACCGCGUGACCGAUGAAGGUCGUAAGAUCGUAAAGGUCUUUUCUGAGAGAAUAAUUCUGAAGGUAUCUUAGGAAUAAGCACCGGCUAACUCCGUG